rnacentral:tRNA from 1 species
GGCCCCAUGGUGUAAUGGUUAGCACCCUGGACUUUGAAUCCAGAGAUCCGAGUUCGAGUCUCGGUGGGACCG